rnacentral:rRNA from 1 species
AGAAUUCAGUAGUGAUUCAGGCAUAACACAUGCAAGUCGAGCGAUUCUAUUCGGAGAAGAGCGGCGGACGGGUGAGUAACGCGUGGGUAACCUGCCCUGUACACACGGAUAACAUACCGAAAGGUAUGGUAAUACGAGAUAAUAUGCUUUUAUCGCAUGGUAGAAGUAUCAAAGCUCCGGCGGUCCAGGAUGGACCCGCGUGUGAUUAGUUAGUUGGUGAGGUAACGGCUCACCAAGGCGACGAUCAGUAGCCGACCUGAGAGGGUGAUCGGCCACAUUGGAUCUGAGACGACGGUCCAAACUCCUACGGGAGGCAGCAGUGGGGAAUAUU